rnacentral:rRNA from 1 species
AUUGAACGCUGGCGGUAUGCUUUACACAUGCAAGUCGAACGGCUGCACGGGGCAACCUGGUGGCGAGUGGCGAACGGGUGAGUAAUACAUCGGAACGUGCCCAGUCGUGGGGGAUAACGUAGCGAAAGUUACGCUAAUACCGCAUACGAUCUAAGGAUGAAAGCGGGGGAUCGCCAGACCUCGCGCGAUUGGAGCGGCCGAUGUCAGAUUAGGUAGUUGGUGGGGUAAAGGCCCACCAAGCCGACGAUCUGUAGCUGGUCUGAGAGGACGACCAGCCACACUGGGACUGAGACACGGCCCAGACUCCUACGGAGGCAGCAGUGGGGAAUUUUGGACAAUGGGCGCAAGCCUGAUCCAGCCAUUCCGCGUGCAGGAUGAAGGCCUUCGGGUUGUAAACUGCUUUUGUACGGAGCGAAAAGGCUCUCUCUAAUACAGGGGGCUCAUGACGGUACCGUAAGAAUAAGCACCGGCUAACUACGUGCCAGCAGCCGCAGUAA